rnacentral:misc_RNA from 1 species
AAAGUCGUAACAAGGUUUCCGUAGGUGAACCUGCGGAAGGAUCAUUUUAGUAUGACGGGUGACGAUCUCUAGCUAACCUAGGGCUCAUCCUGAAAUAACAGUGCAAUUGUUUAUAUCUUAUAACGAGAAAUCCACGCUUACACUUUAAACCUGCUAGCGAUUCCGCAAGGAAGCAAUAGCAACAACGAAAUACAACUUUUAACAAUGGAUCUCUAGGCUCUU